GAAAUCCAGCGAAACGAAGUGCCUGGGGACAGUUGACGAAUUUAUCGAUUCGCAUACAGGGCAAAAAUUGCACGCGUGCACACGAGAGAUUUGAAACAGGUUUGUUGGAAAUUGGAAUAUGCCUCUUUAUUCGAUUAUCGAAACUAUAAGAUUAAAAGUAUCGUUCGUUCAACAAUAUAUUUUAAUAUUUGAUUAUUGUUGUUGUUCACGCGGGACGAGAAGCCAAUGAGACGCGUGAAAAUAAAAGAUUUUUUAUCGAGUCGCAGCAAUCAAUUCGAUAUAAAACAUCUGUAUCGAUUAUUUAAUUAUUUGAAAUUCUAUUUUAAAUUAAUUAAGGAAGAGAGCUGCGUAACUAAGAUUUACAACAAAGAUUCUAUCGAUUUCAAGAACAGGCAAUUCAUAACUUCAGGCCUUAGAUCGCGAAAGGAUCAAUCAGAUAGACGCAUAACGAACCAUUUAUCAUAGAAAUUGUUACGUCGACGGAUCCCGAUUCUCAUCGAAGCAAAGAAAAAGACGGCUAGACACGGAGAGACAGAGAGAAUAACUUUCCUCCGCACGCUUUGCGGCCGUGAAGAAGGGGGUUGUGCCGCUUUUGUCGUGCUGCACAGACGCGUGGAAAAGAAGAGAGCGAGUUUUGCGACGGUAUUGUCGUGGUUCGCGUUGUCCUGUGCCCUACCGUCGCUACCAUUCCGAUAACAAACGUCACGGUUUGAGGACCUCGCUUUUUCCAGUCGAUGGGCAGCCUCUUUAAAGAGUAAUUACGCCUACACUCGAUGUAUCCUGCGCCCCGUGAUAUUCUUCAUCGUUUUUUCAGGAGACAACGAGUAUAGCUUUGCGACUUAAGCGGUGAUGGCCGGUGUUCUUACGCCCUUUCUUUCUACGAACUGGCUCGAUUUACGCGUAUUAAAUAU